CGAACGGAAAGGCCCCUUCGGGGGUACUCGAGUGGCGAACGGGUGAGUAACACGUGGGUAAUCUGCCCUGCACUUCGGGAUAAGCCUGGGAAACUGGGUCUAAUACCGGAUAGGACCACUUGGCGCAUGCCUUGUGGUGGAAAGCUUUUGCGGUGUGGGAUGGGCCCGCGGCCUAUCAGCUUGUUGGUGGGGUGACGGCCUACCAAGGCGACGACGGGUAGCCGGCCUGAGAGGGUGUCCGGCCACACUGGGACUGAGAUACGGCCCAGACUCCUACGGGAGGCAGCAGUGGGGAAUAUUGCACAAUGGGCGCAAGCCUGAUGCAGCGACGCCGCGUGGGGGAUGACGGCCUUCGGGUUGUAAACCUCUUUCAGCAGGGACGAAGCGCAAGUGACGGUACCUGCAGAAGAAGCACCGGCCAACUACGUGCCAGCAGCCGCGGUAAUACGUAGGGUGCGAGCGUUGUCCGGAAUUACUGGGCGUAAAGAGCUCGUAGGUGGUUUGUCGCGUUGUUCGUGAAAACCGGGGGCUUAACCCUCGGCGUGCGGGCGAUACGGGCAGACUGGAGUACUGCAGGGGAGACUGGAAUUCCUGGUGUAGCGGUGGAAUGCGCAGAUAUCAGGAGGAACACCGGUGGCGAAGGCGGGUCUCUGGGCAGUAACUGACGCUG
rnacentral:rRNA from 1 species